ensembl:lncRNA
AUUUAUCUUUAGUUCUAAAGUUCUUAGCUCUCGCUCUGAUGUUAAAUGUCUUGUUUCUUUUUUUUUUUUGGGGGGGGAUUAUUUGUAUAAUAGUAUUGUAUACUUACUUACGACAACGUACACACACAGUGGCACACAUCGGCAGAAAUAGUUACCAUUUUCGAUCACCGGAUCAAAGUUCCUGGUGACUGCAGUGGAGAGACAUGCAAAAACACAUGUCUGGGGGGAAAGGUCCCUCUCUUCCUCUCCACUCUCUGCGCCUCAUGGUUCCACCAUUGCGGCUGGUCUCAGCAGCCAUUUGGCGAACGGUCCAGCAGAGACACGUGAUGGAUUAUGGGAUGCUGGAAGAGUUUGUUACCAUGGUCACAGAGAUGGUUCCAGAGCCUAAAAGUGCAAUAUGUGCCAUGUAAAAAAGCUAACGUUUAAGUUCCUUGCUCAGAACAUGAGAACAUAUGAAAGUUGGUGGUUCCUUUUAACAUGAGACUUCAAUGAUGUUUUUCCUGUGGAAUUUGGUCCCAAGUAUGACGCCGCAAUAGAGAAACUAAUGUGUCAGUUUCUUUCAAGACUUGAGAAGCUACUUAUCAAAUUUUCAACAGGCUGCAUUCCUGCUCAGUGAUGUCCCCUCUGUUCUGGAGGAAUGUGUUGAGUCCAUGUCUCACCCUCAGCAGCUGAAAACCCUACUUCAGUACCACAGAGAUCUCGGCCAGCUGGACAACCAUGAAAGGGUGAUUGCAACAGAACAAACAGAAUCAGAAACACCAGUAUCAUCCUUGAAUGUCUUCAUGGAUACAUUCACCAAAGAGUUGGAUGUGGACUCUGCAACACUGACAGAGUACACAGAGAUGGAACCGGGGACAAGUAUGAAUGUCGUAGAAAGAGAGGAGAGGGUGGAAUGUGAGAGAAACAACAAACUAUCUAUAGAGUUUGCUGACCCUGUGGACCAUGAGAACAUGGAGGUUCAUGCCGGUAAUGAAGAAGAGAAGGUUGUGGGGAUUGGACCAGUAAAAGAUGAGACGGAAGAUAUUGUUGAAGAGGUGGACUCCAGGUACAAAACAGUGAUGGUUAUUGGGGCAGAUGGGGUGGCGCAGACUUAUGAAGAUUUAAGUGUCAAAAGGAAGAGAUCUUUCAGAAAGCCUCAAAUAAAGACACAUAAAGCCAGUGUAAGUCAUGGAGAA